rnacentral:lncRNA from 1 species
UCACCUUUCCAAAGAUCUCAAGCAAUAAUUGAUAGUUGAGUAUCCAGAUUGAGCAAAACAUUCCAUUGCAUGCAAGUUGAAUUAAGAAACACAUCAUCUUACAAAUGAAUGGAGAGAAGAAUAAGUUACUGAAAUUUGUUUAUCUUACAAGUUCGGGGAGUAAUACAGCAGAAUCCACAAUCAUACACUUAUCAUCUCAAAUAUGAACUACUAAUAAGCACUUUGAUGUCCCCAGUUUCUUCCCUGAUUCUUUUUGCAGACUCUUCUGCAGAUUGUCCACACCAGUGCACUUCAAUCAAUUUCAGUGUGCCUAUGGCAGCAAAAUCAUCUGGGAUUUCCUCGAGGUCUUUGCAAUUUUGCAAGACAAGCCGUUCAAGUUUGGGAAGGUGAUCACAAGUGGCAUUCCAUUGAGAAACGUUCAGGUUGUCUAACUUCAAGAAUUUGAGUUCCUUGAACUGUUCUUCCUCCAUGUCCCAUAUCAGCCCCUCAAAGGCAUCAAGAAGUAAUUUGAGAACUUCCAGGUUGGGUAGUCUCCCAAUUGUUGAGAUAUGACUCCAUGGUAGACGAAAGUUUGAAAGAGUCAAUUUCCUCAGAUUGGAAGGGAGAAUGAAUUCCCUGGUAAUAGCGCUUCCAUAGUAAAAUACAUUGAGUGACACCAAAUGAGUUAGAAAAUCUAAUCUUGGAAACUGAUAGGAAUUCUUCGAAGAACCCUGUGGAUGAAAGAAUAUGCACCUCAGUUUCUGAAGAUUUGGCAACCUCUUUAUUAUUGAUUCUGUAUCUUCACCACAAGAGAGAGAGAGACAGGAAAGGCUGACCAAAUCACCCAACUUACAGCAGACUUCAAGCCCUUGAUCAUCCAAUGUGAAGGCAACAUGCAUAUUCACAUGAAGAUGCCUCAACCUUGUCAUGUGCCAAAUAGUAUCUGGUAAGACAACCUGACCACGUAAUCCCUUCAAAACAAAAGUUUCUAGUUUUCGGAGAUUGCCUAUGGAUUGUGGAAUAGUUUGCAUAUAACCAGUAACUGCCAAAUACCUCAAAUGAACCAGAUAUGUAAUGUCAGCAGGGAAGGUGACACCCAGGUUGAUGCAUUCAAAAUCUAACACCCGCAGAAGUUUGAAGUUGUGCCAAAUGAAUGAGAUGUCAUAAGGACAUCUGGGCUCUGAAUCAGCUGAAGGAAAGAAUAGCAAAGAACGAGUACCCAGGCCAAAAGGUCUUGAUUUAAAAAAAUGGAGUCGCUUCAAAAAAAAGCACAAUCGGUAGGCUUCAUAUGUGACAGGAUCAGAAUGAUGGCCAAUUUCAAAACCAAAAUCUGAACUAGGAAAAGAUACAUAUGGCUCAUCAAACCUGGUUACUAGCCGGAAGAAGUUCUCUGCCCUGGCUUUUAACUGACAAAAAUCACGUAACAGAUCAUGCAAGCGACAUGAUUUGACCGUUCCGUUGGAUCUUCUUUUGGAGACUUCCACCAGGCUUCUGCUAAUCAACUCCAUCAAGUAACCCUCGGCAAUACCUUCUAAGCUCUUCAACUCAGAGUCAUGAAUGAAACCUUCAGCAAGCCAAAACCGUAUCAACUUGCUAACAGGAAUAUCCUUGUCUUCAAGGAAAACUCCCAAAUAAAGAAAGCACGGUUUUAGAUAUCCCGGUAAGUGUUUGUAACUCAAUUCAAAGAUUUCCAUGCACUGAGCUUUUGGAUCUUCCAUAACUUCAGCAAUCAAGCCUUUUGCAAUUUUCCCCCAUGAUGCUCUGCUCUUUUCUAUCUUUUGGAGGAGACCAGAUAUUGCAACAACAGCAAGAGGCAAUCCUUCACACUUUUUGGCAAUUUCCCUUCCAACAAGCAACAAUUCUUCGGGACAACCUUCACCAUGGAAUACUUUCUCUACUAAUAAGUUCCAGCUUUCAUCAUCAGAAAAUAAGCGUAGAGAAUGAGGAUCACUAUCUGGUUCAAUUUGCAAGGCCACAUCACGAAGGCGGCUGGUAAUCAAAAUUCUGCUUCCAUUGGCAUCAUCUGGGAAUGCAUUUCUUAACUCAUUCCAAACUCCAGCAUCCCACACAUCAUCCAUAACAAUGAGAAACCUGUUUCUCAGUAAGCACUGAUGCAAUUUUAAUUGGAGAUCUUCGUUUGUCAUUUGAUGAAUUUCAUCCGUAAGUCCGAGAAUGCCACAUAAAAUCUCCAGCAGCAGUUCUCUUUUUUCAUAUUCAUGUGAAACAGUACACCAUGCACGACAAUGAAAGUGAGACAAAACCUUUUGGCAGUUAAACAGUUUCCAAGCCAUUGUUGUCUUGCCAAUACCGGGCAUUCCCACAAGAGAAACGAUGCCAAACUUUGAGGAUCCCUUGACAAGUUGAUCAGUUAUAGAUUGUUCUUCAUCUCUGGGAUCCACCACCAUUCCAUUGAUUGCUGGUGUAGCAUCCCGUGAUAUCACGUUGGGUGGAACCUGGAUGACGUGUUUGUUAUCUAGGACUUUGGCUUGAGGGGCCGUCAACUGAAUUCUAGAGGCUCGGUUAUUAACAAUUCUUAACUCCUCUAGUAGAUCAUAAACCAAAAAGAAACCUUGCCAUUGAGGAUCGACCUCAAUUGAGUCAAUGACAAACUCAAUUUUAUAAGCAAUAUUGGCAACAUGACCACCAAGAACUUUCACUUCUGGAUUGUCAUCAAUAUCCGACUCUGAGACUUUCAUGAGAAAAGAACCCAAAGACUUGAAAUGUAGAUGAAUUUCUUUUAUGUAAUUCCUGACUGGUUCAAUUGACGCAGGAUCAUAGUUCAGCAGUUCCUCCAGGCUUCCAAUGAGAAAUUCAACGAACCCUGGCUUGUAAGUCUUGGGAAAAUCAGACAAUGGAAAUGGGGGACUGACCACUCUGAGAGUAGACUUGAUAGGAUUCAGCUUAUCUUGCAGUCUAGAAGAUGAGAUGAUCAUAUUGUGGAUGGGUCCUGCCAUCCCUGCAUCAGAAGUUUCAGUUUGUGGGAAGAUCGUGUCCAUGUCCUCUGUCUCCUCCUUUAGCUGGUUGCAGAGAAGUGAGAAAAGAUUAAGGAGCACAAGAAGUGCAAUUUGAUCUUUUCGAUAAGCCUCGGAAUUUGCAGCACUACUCCUCUCCAGUUGUAACUUCUCAAAUAAUGCUUCUGCUUUGAAAACAACAAUGUUAAGAAGCAAUAGGAGAAUUGAGUUUCUCACCGUGGAUUCUGUGAUCUUCUUGGCCUCAAACAACUGAUGGAGAGAUGCUACCUUGUAGUCCACUUGUUUAAUGAGAGCCAAUGCCUUAUUCCCAUAUUCUGCCUCCCAAUGCGUAAGAUUUUCCAAAAAACGUAUCAAUUUUUUAGGCAUCCAUUGGACAUCACCUUUAACAUGAUUGAGCAGAUCUUUAGUUUGGAAAGUGCUCCCUUGAUUGUUACAGAAAAGCAUUCCCUUGAGGAAAAGCUCCGUCUGAAGAAGAAAAACAUUUAUACGUAGCUCAGAAUGGCCAUGGAUAAUUUGCUCACCCUUUCGUUCCAUCUGUUUGAGGAAUUCCAUCUCUAUGAGCACCGUAUGAAUCUCUGCAAGGAAAAUUUGUAUAGUCUGAUCCUCUUCCUCCCCCUUCUCCUGUUGCUUCAGUUUGGUGAAGGCUAAAAGCUUUAACAGCCCAUAGAUCUCUCGAGAACAGAUCUCUCGAGUAUCUCUGAUCCUCACUUUAGUGGCAACAUAAUUGCUAUAAUGAGAGGAAAAAUCGGGCUUAACUCCUCCAAUUUUAUGGAGAGCCACAAGGAAAUGAAAAUGGAACUCCAUGAAUUUGGGAUUAGUAGGAUGAAUCUCAUGUUGCAAAUCCACUACAGAUUUAGUCAGCUUAAUCAUUUCUACCGUUUUGGUUGUGCCUUCGGUUUUCCCGUAGUGAAUCCGGUACUUAAUACUGUGGAUUGCAAUCCGUACCAUCACAGAUGCAACACGAGUGACGAAAUCAUUGAUAGCAUUUACAUCAUCACCACCUGCAGCAGCUGCUGCUGGGAAGUCGAGAUUCCUGGAUACACCUUCCAUGUAUUCCCCGAACAAUCUUAGCUCUUUGCGCCAGGCACCGAUUGGCUCGCUCCAUUUUGUAUCGUCCACAAUAUCGGCCAGAGUGGUUACAAAUUGUAGCCAAAAAGAAACAUCAAAUGGUGAUUGCAGUCGACACGACGACCACCCGGAUAAAUCCAAAAGGUGUUCAACAUCUUCUCCAAUCUCUUCCAUCCAUUUGAUGGAUUUACUGUAAUAAUCAUAGAGAGUUUUGCCAUUUACCGGGGAAAGCUUCAUCUGGGUGGUGUUCUUGUUUAUAAUUACAACAUGCCAACCAAUCUCCUCCGCUGCAGCUUCAAUCUUGACUCCCAUAUUAAGCAGCACGCGCUCUGCAUCUUCAUCUCUCAUCAGCUUGUGAAUUGCUUCCGAAAUUAACCUCAAAAGCUUCCAAUCUCCCAAGAUGCGAUCGCGUUGACGCCACUGUACCCGGUGACUUUUGUUUCCACGCGCAACUGCAUCGAUAAAUUUGCUACUUCCCCGUACAGCAUCCAAGAAAAAAACUAUGAUAUCAAAGCUGGAAAUAGCCAUCUCCAGGUCCAGAAUUUUGAUCUCUUACUCGAGCAUACCAGCUCUGUCUGUCAGACUGAUCUGCAUAAACACAAAUGCUUUUGAUGUAUGCAUUAGGUGAAUGGAGUCGAGUGGAGUGCUCAAUUAUUGAAACAAAUAAACCUAAAAUAGUAAUUAAUUAUUGUAACAAAUAAACUUAAAAUUAUUAUUUGGAUAAAAUUAUUAUAAUAAAUUAAUAUUUAAUAUAAAACUUGAGUGGAGUGCUUUAUUGACAAAGUUCGAACUCGAGUCCCUAGAGUUCAAAAAAUUUUGGAAAUAAUAGUAUAAUGAUUAAAUAUUUAAUUAAAUGCUCGAUAAAAUUCAUCGAGCUCUUAAGUUUUCUUAAGGAACUUGAAUUCGAUCAAUAUCGAGUUCAAUAAAGUAAUUAACUGAAUUGCUAGCGAAUUCGAGUCAAGCUGCUCAAUUAAAUCUCACCCUUAUCCCCAAUGGACCAGGGCCUCACAAUUUGAGGCAAUAUCCACUUCGGACACAUCCGGUCAAGAUCAAAUUGUGAUAAUGAGACAGCCACGAUUAUUGCAUGGGGAAAGAAAAAUCAAAAUUGAGGACUAAUGAAAAGACUAGAACUCAUUGUCCUCUCAUCAGAGAUAGAGGAGAAGAAUCAACGAUGAAGACUACUCAUUUCUGAGAAAUUUCUAACGAAAUCCAACAUAGGGAGAUAAAGUCUCAGACUCUUCAACUUUUUGGGAAGUGAAAUUUUGCAGCCCUACAAAUUCGAGAUUUAUUGAGGCUUUGCUUGUUGGUUCAUAAUUUAACAAAAAAAAACAAAAAGUUCUCAUAUCAUCAAAGUAUCAAGUAUGUUCUUGGGUUUUCAGAAUAUUCAUGGAUAUUGGAAAUUUUUUUCUUCGUUUAUUGUAAUUACAAGGGGACACAAAAGGCAUUUGGUUUUUUCCAUCCUUGUGAAGAAAUUCUCGAUAUUUAAUGACUGCUAUAAGAAGAAAAUUAGCAAAAAUGCUAACUCUCUAAUUAUCCAAAUCGAAUGGUAGAUUAGGGCUAUUAUAAUUUCUUGAUUGGCAUUGUUUGAGUUGGUCUUGUUAAAGAAGAAUUUAGAAAUCGUCAUGCCAGUGGUAUGUAUAAGAGUACGUAAAAACACCCUAAAGAAACUUGCCCCUUCUGAUUAUUUACACCAGUAGUUACAAUGGUUAAUAAAUGGGCCUUAUGCAAACAAACUUAUUAAAGAUACACUUGCAAGCUAGAGUUGGCUUGAUAUUAUGCUGGCAUGAUCAAGGAUUCUUAAUUAGGUUCGAAAAUUUUGCGCAAUAAAUUGGGUAAAAUAUCAAAAAACCUCUUGUGAUUUGCCGAGUGUUUAACUUAACUCCUUAUCGUUCGGAAACUUACAUUCUAAGCUCUCAUGGUUUUAACUAAAUUGGAAGGUGGAUAGAAACUGACUAAACUAAUGGUUGCAUCUAAAAUGUCAAAAUUGCCCUUUAUAAAUAAUAAGAUUUAAUACCAAAAAAAUCAUUUAUGGUCUGUUGAAUGUUUAACUUAAUUCUUUAUGUUUUGGAAAUCUACAUUCUAGCCUCUUGUGGGUUUAACUAAAUUGAAUUCAUUAUAUUAGCCUUCUCCUACUUCAUUCAAACAUUCUUGCUACAGCCAUUUCCCUUACUGGAAGAAUGUAGUUACUAAAGGAAUCAUUAAAAUUGUUUAUCGCGAGGAGCAAGGCUGUAGUUUCCGAAGCACAGAGAGUUAAGAAUACAUAUUAAAGAACUUAUUGAAAUUGUUUAUUACAGGGAGUUAGAAUGUAAGUUCUGAAGUUGUUAAAGCACUCAUUGAGAUUGAUUACUACGAAAGGCUAGAAUAUAGGUUUAUGAAGCAUAGAGAGCUAAGAAUGACAACGUGCCCUUCCAUUGAUAGCAUGUUCAUCAACUAAGGCAUUGCAAAAAAAAAAAAAAAAAUCAUGCAACGUGCCCUUCCAUUGAUAUGCAGGUAUGACAAGUAAUUUUAGGUUAAGAAUUUUGUUUGUUUAGCUCUCUAUGUUUCAAUUGUAUUGUUGAGUACUUCUCUCACAUACGUUAUUUGAGCAUUUGCACUCCUUUUAGGUGUGUAAAUACCAUUUUUUAGUUGGCUUGAAAAGGUCUGAAUGUUUGUUACUCUCUAUUGUUCAUUAAUAUACAUUGAUAGUUCGUCGAGCUCGAACUCAAGUUUAAAUUUGAUAAAAUUAGAUCGAAUCUCAGCUCGAUUCGAUUAAAAUUCAACUCGACUCGGUUGCAACUCUACCUAGGAGAGUAGUCCUUUAGAUUUAGUGACACUUUGUGUUUUUUGCUUUUAGGAAUGGCUAGGACAGCUUUUGGUAUUUCUUCAUGAUGCCCAAUUGGUAGAUUGCUUGUCAUACAUGAUGAAUCCAAUCUGCUGCCAGCAAUGCUCUCCAGAUAGCUCAAUUCAGCAGAACCCAUCUAGGAUUCGUUGUGGUUAAUUUUAGAUUUUUGUUACCUCUAACAAUACAAGCCGAUAUGCUUCAAAAAAAAGUCUGAUAAGAAGACCUUUUUUUGGUGUAGUGAAACACUAUUUGCCAUGAUCCUCGUACAUGUAAGCUAGCCGCUCAAAUAUGAAUAUUAUGCUGAGUACUUCAAAAUUGGAACACUUGCUUCAGCGAAUUAGGUGCUAACUUUUGAGUCAAUGGCUGUCAACAUUUGAAGAUAGAGGGAUUGAAUGCAGUACUUCAAGAAACAAAGAAAUGAAUCUGCAUGAUUAGAAUUUCUGUUUGCUUUAAGAGGUAAGAAUUACAGUAGGUAUAAUCUAGAGGACCAACAAAACCAACUUAAACAAACUGAAUUCACCUUUCCAAAGAUCUCAAGCAAUAAUUGAUUGUUGAGUAUCCAGAUUGAGCAAAACAUUCCAUUGCAUGGAAGUUGAAUUAAGAAACACAUCAUCUUACAAAUGAAUCGAGAGAAGAAUAAGUUACUGAAAUUUGAUUAUCUUACAAGUUCGAGGAGUAAUACAACAGAAUCCACAAUCAUACACUUAUCAUCUCAAAUAUGAACUACUAAUAAGCACUUUGAUGUCCCCAGUUGCUUCCCUGAUUCUUUUUGCAGACUCUUCCGCAGAUUGUCCACACCAGUGCACUUCAACCAAUUCCAGUGUGCCUAUGUCUGCAAAAUCAUAGGGGAUUUCCUCGAGGUCUUUGCAAUUUUGCAAGACAAGCCGUUCAAGUUUGGGAAGGUGAUCACAAGUGGCAUUCCAUUGAGAAAUGUUCAGAUUGUCUAACUUCAAGAAUUUAAGUUCCUUGAAGUGUUCUUCCUCCAUGUCCCAUAUCAGCCCCUCAAAGGCAUCAAGAAGUAAUCUGAGAACUUCCAG